GGAAAGAGAGUUAAUAAGACAGGGAAGAGGUAGAGCAUGGAUGGAGUUCUCAAGAGCAAAAUAGAGCUCUUGUGACUCUACUCAUGCACUGCCUCUUCCCUGGCUUUGCCUCCCUCUCCUUCC